rnacentral:rRNA from 1 species
AUGCUCAAAAUUGAUCUUGUAAAAGCUUUUGAUCGUCUAGAAUGGAGCUUUAUUAUGGGUGCGCUCGUUCGUAUAAGGCUUCCUAGUCAUUUUAUUAAGUUGAUUCAUGAAUGCAUCUCUACUCCUAUUUUUUCUAUUAUCAUUAAUGGUCAAUCAUAUGCAAGGCUCAGAAGCUCUAGAGGUAUAAGACAGGGAUGCCCUCUAUCCCCUUAUCCUUUUGUCCUUGCUAUAAAUGAAGUCUCCAUCUCUUUGCAGGAAGCCAUGUCCUUUAAUCAGCUGUCGGGCAUUUCCCUUGGUUCAGAUUGCCCUUCUAUCCAUUCUCUUAUGUUUGCAGACGACCUUCUUGUUUGCGGGCAAGCUACAUAUCAAGAAGCACUCCAUAUUCGCAAUAUUAUUCAAACUUUUUGC